AAAUUGAAGAGUUUGAUCAUGGCUCAGAUUGAACGCUGGCGGCAGGCCUAACACAUGCAAGUCGAGCGGUAACACAGGGAGCUUGCUCCCGGGUGACGAGCGGCGGACGGGUGAGUAAUGUCUGGGAAACUGCCUGAUGGAGGGGGAUAACUACUGGAAACGGUAGCUAAUACCGCAUAAUGUCGCAAGACCAAAGAGGGGGACCUUCGGGCCUCUUGCCAUCAGAUGUGCCCAGAUGGGAUUAGCUAGUAGGUGGGGUAACGGCUCACCUAGGCGACGAUCCCUAGCUGGUCUGAGAGGAUGACCAGCCACACUGGAACUGAGACACGGUCCAGACUCCUACGGGAGGCAGCAGUGGGGAAUAUUGCACAAUGGGCGCAAGCCUGAUGCAGCCAUGCCGCGUGUAUGAAGAAGGCCUUCGGGUUGUAAAGUACUUUCAGCGGGGAGGAAGGUGUUGAGGUUAAUAACCUCAGCGAUUGACGUUACCCGCAGAAGAAGCACCGGCUAACUCCGUGCCAGCAGCCGCGGUAAUACGGAGGGUGCAAGCGUUAAUCGGAAUUACUGGGCGUAAAGCGCACGCAGGCGGUCUGUCAAGUCGGAUGUGAAAUCCCCGGGCUCAACCUGGGAACUGCAUUCGAAACUGGCAGGCUAGAGUCUUGUAGAGGGGGGUAGAAUUCCAGGUGUAGCGGUGAAAUGCGUAGAGAUCUGGAGGAAUACCGGUGGCGAAGGCGGCCCCCUGGACAAAGACUGACGCUCAGGUGCGAAAGCGUGGGGAGCAAACAGGAUUAGAUACCCUGGUAGUCCACGCCGUAAACGAUGUCGACUUGGAGGUUGUGCCCUUGAGGCGUGGCUUCCGGAGCUAACGCGUUAAGUCGACCGCCUGGGGAGUACGGCCGCAAGGUUAAAACUCAAAUGAAUUGACGGGGGCCCGCACAAGCGGUGGAGCAUGUGGUUUAAUUCGAUGCAACGCGAAGAACCUUACCUACUCUUGACAUCCAGAGAACUUUCCAGAGAUGGAUUGGUGCCUUCGGGAACUCUGAGACAGGUGCUGCAUGGCUGUCGUCAGCUCGUGUUGUGAAAUGUUGGGUUAAGUCCCGCAACGAGCGCAACCCUUAUCCUUUGUUGCCAGCGGUCCGGCCGGGAACUCAAAGGAGACUGCCAGUGAUAAACUGGAGGAAGGUGGGGAUGACGUCAAGUCAUCAUGGCCCUUACGAGUAGGGCUACACACGUGCUACAAUGGCGCAUACAAAGAGAAGCGACCUCGCGAGAGCAAGCGGACCUCAUAAAGUGCGUCGUAGUCCGGAUUGGAGUCUGCAACUCGACUCCAUGAAGUCGGAAUCGCUAGUAAUCGUAGAUCAGAAUGCUACGGUGAAUACGUUCCCGGGCCUUGUACACACCGCCCGUCACACCAUGGGAGUGGGUUGCAAAAGAAGUAGGUAGCUUAACCUUCGGGAGGGCGCUUACCACUUUGUGAUUCAUGACUGGGGUGAAGUCGUAACAAGGUAACCGUAGGGGAACCUGCGGUUGGAUCACCUCCUUACCUUAAAGAA
rnacentral:rRNA from 1 species